rnacentral:rRNA from 1 species
CACAGCACAAAGACAAUAAAUCCCCCCUGUGUCUGCCACCUCCUAAAAACCUACCGAGCCACACUAUUAUUAUAGACAAACUAAUGCUAGAACUAGUAACAAGAAACCCUUCUCUCAAGCACCCCUUUGACCCAGAAAUAGAAAACCUACUGGACAUUAACAGACCAAAACAGGAACAACAAUUAACCAGCCAAAACUGUUACAAAAACUGUCAACCCAACACCGGAGUGCUAAAAAGAUAGAUUAAAAGCCGUAAAAGGAAUUCAGCAAAACCUUGUCCCAACUGUUUACCAAAAACAUAGCCUUUAGCCAAACAAGUAUUAAAGGUCCUGCCUGCCCAGUGAAACACUUUUAAACGGCCGCGGUAUCCUAACCGUGCAAAGGUAGCGUAAUCACU